rnacentral:sRNA from 2 species
AAUUGAUUUUAGUACUUUUAAGGAUAUGGAAGUUUGGUGCAAAUCCAACGCGGUCCCGCCACUGUGAUAAGCUUGCUUACAGGCUUUAAGUCAGGUCUUUAUUCUUAAAUUUUAGUAGAUUUCAUGCCUCGAUGUAAGGUAGUGAUGUCAGUU